rnacentral:lncRNA from 1 species
UCUAUGGGGAACCCAAUCGUACAUCCAAAGUGGAUUCCACUCUAGGAUUAUCAAUAUAUCUCAUAUUUACAUAAUUGUAAUAUUUGUUUGUUUUUUUGUUUCAUACAAGAAUCGGAAUGCUAUAUUUGAAGAUAUUGUUGGAAUAAUUAGAGUUUUUAAGAAGAAUGAAGAAGAAGAUGGAGAAAGAUUUCUUAUCCCAAUACCUCUUUUCAACUCAUCAAACCUAAUUUUUU